UACGUAGGGAGCAAGCGUUGUCCGGAAUCAUUGGGCGUAAAGCGCGCGUAGGCGGCCUCAUAAGUCCGUUGUGAAAGUCAAAGGCUCAACCUUUGAAAGCCGAUGGAUACUGUGAGGCUAGAGUCCGGAAGAGGCGAGUGGAAUUCCUGGUGUAGCGGUGGAAUGCGCAGAUAUCAGGAGGAACACCUAUUGCGAAGGCAGCUCGCUGGGACGUAACUGACGCUGAGACGCGAAAGCGUGGGGAGCAAACAGG
rnacentral:rRNA from 1 species